UGGGGAAUAUUGGACAAUGGGGGGAACCCUGAUCCAGCAAUGCCGCGUGUGUGAAGAAGGCCUGAGGGUUGUAAAGCACUUUCAGUGGGGAGGAGGGUUGAUAGGUUAAGAGCUGAUUGACUGGACGUUACCCACAGAAGAAGCACCGGCUAACUCCGUGCCAGCAGCCGCGGUAAUACGGAGGGUGCGAGCGUUAAUCGGAAUUACUGGGCGUAAAGGGUGCGUAGGUGGUUUGAUAAGUUAUCUGUGAAAUUCCUGGGCUCAACCUGGGGUGGUCAGAUAAGACUGUUGGACUGGAGUAUGGGAGAGGGUAGUGGAAUUUCCGGUGUAGCGGUGAAAUGCGUAGAGAUCGGAAGGAACACCAGUGGCGAAGGCGGCUACCUGGCCUAAUACUGACACUGAGGCACGAAAGCGUGGGGAGCAAACA
rnacentral:rRNA from 1 species